GUUUUCAUUUAUUUUUUGUACAUAAAUAAGGCUGUGUCUUCCCGUUUAAAUUGUUUUACAUUGUCAUUUCAGGGCCUUUUAUAGAUGAUUAUGCGGAAUUGGCUUUGCUCAUUGUUGAUGGCCUUACGGUGACCUGUAGUUGUUAAUUUCUGUGUCAUUUUGGUCUCUUGUGGAGAAUUAUCUCAUUGGCAAUCAUAUACCACUUUUUUUAUAUGUAUUUGCUUACUAUUUGUAUGGUUCUAUUUAUAUUACUUUGUG
rnacentral:lncRNA from 1 species